rnacentral:rRNA from 1 species
UACGGAGGAUGCAAGCGUUAUCCGGAUUUAUUGGGUUUAAAGGGUGCGCAGGCGGGAGAUUAAGUCGGCGGUGAAAUUUUGCAGCUCAACUGUAAAAGUGCCUUCGAAACUGGUUUCCUUGAGUGUGGAUGAAGUAGGCGGAAUUUGUGGUGUAGCGGUGAAAUGCAUAGAUAUCACGAGGAACUCCGAUUGCGCAGGCAGCUUACUAAACUACUACUGACGCUCAGGCACGAAGGCGUGGGGAUCAAACAGGAUUAGAUACCCGCGUA